AAGGUGUGCUCCCAAGGCAAUAACACAACAUGGAAUCCAUGUUUGGUUUUGAUUUGGCGGUGGGGUGUUAGCCUCUAACAAUUGGAUUGAAUUAUUUCCUGGGCACAGCUCGUCGACGCAUUCCCUACCGUCCACUGACCACAGAUAUACCCUCCGGCAUGGGAAAAGCGUCGCCAAACAGGCAGACGCAGGACAAAUCGAGAGGUGACACCAAACCCUGUGAACCACUGAUUAGGUGUCUGAAAAUACUCCAUGAAGCACUGAAUGUGUCGUCUUUGAGCGCCAUGGUAUCACGGUUGGAGAUAAUGGCCAAACAGAGAGGGAUGGGGUCCCACCUGAGCCCCACUGAGACAACCUGUUACCUCACAGCUGACAUGUUCUACCUAGAGGUCCUACUACUGCCUGGCGGAGAGGUGGAGGAUGUGAAAUUGGCCCAACAUGGAGAAGCCCCUGUGUCAAGCGAGUCACUUCUUCAACUGCUAAAGUAAGAUGUAAUACAUAUGGUCUGACUAAUACAAUUUGUCAACUGAGGUCACCUGACAUUUAUUUUACCAAGUUCUAACAAAGUAUACAUUGUUGGCACUUCAGAUUACCCCCAUCUGUUUAUUACUGUACAGGUCAAAGAAGUUUGAAGAAUUCUCAGUGAAACUGAAAGGCCUUUCCUCCCUGUACAACAUCCCUGGAGACAAUGAGACCAAGAUCAAGGUCUACACAGCCCUGCAGUUCUUGGGGAAAGAUCUACAGAAGAUAUCCCAUUUGCCAAGAGCAUUAAGGGAGUGCAAUCUUCAAGUGGACAUGAUUCUCAAUGGCAGGAUUGGCUAUCUUACGGCAGGGAGCGAAGGUAUCCCAAUGACUAUCCAAUACUACAUCAGCCCUUCUGACAUUCUGUUGGAGAUGUCCGAUUCAGAAAGGGGCAGUAUUGGCCAGUUGGCCUUGGUGACAGUGGGGCCAAGUGACUCUACACACAGGCUCCAGAUGGCAUCUGUCAUCCCACAGCCACCUCAGCUUGAUGCCCAGGGUCUACCAUUGUUCAGUCCUCUCUGUGAGGUGCUCUCUGAAAUGAUGCCAGCCUGCUUCCAGCUCAAACUGCAGCCACCCCUACCAAUGCUCUCUUCCUUUGUUGAGAAGCUCAGCCAAAUUACAGAUGUUGCCAUAGCUGAUGCUGACCUGCAGUGGGCACCUUUUCCCCAGUUGAUGAUGACCUUAUUAGGGGAGAAUGGUGGCAAGAAAACAUGGGAUGGCCAAGAUGCCCACUUUCUAGUGCAUUCCAUCAUUUUGACACACCGGUCUUCUCCAUCCAGCCCCUCCCAGGUAAAGAGAUACAUAGCUAUGUGCUGCCGGGGGCUGCAUGGGAAGAAGCUGCUCUGAGGGGGACGCUGAUGAGUACCAUUCCCUUUACCCACCCCGCCCAUGUCCCUGCCCUACUGGAGCUGCUCCGCCACCAGUGUGCAAUUAACACUCUACUGGCCAGCUGCAUUACCUCUCUCAGGCCUAGCCCAGGUCCAGUGUGUGACCUAUACUGCGAAGUCCUCCCUGAGUCAGGUUCUAGCCUCUCUGUGACCUUUCACCUAUCUGACAGUGACUCUCUAUCUGUUUUGCUGGUGAAUGUGGCAGACUCCCGGAAGCUCACCUGCAGUCUGUUUGCAGUGGGGUCAGAAUCCAUGGAUGAAUAUGUCUCCAGAGUCCUAAAGAGAUGUAUGUCUAUUCCUGUGACCAUGCGUGCCUUGAAUCGGAGGCUGUCCAAGAGGACCUGUGGAGAACCUCUACCUGCAUGCUCUGCCACCAUAUCCACUGCAGAUGUCAGCCCUGCUUCUCCUCUCCCCAUGUCCUGUGAGGCUGACGGCAGUCUCUCUUCUGGCUCUGGCCUGGAGUCCAUUGGCAUCCCUACUACCUCCUCUACCGCUGCCGUAUUCUCCCAGGAUGCAAUGGGGACGGAUACCACCGCAACGGCGGCGGAGUCUGCCUUCUGUCUGUCUGUUGCUGAAGUCAAUACAAACCCUACUGCCAACCCUUACCCCUGUGCCUCGGUGUGUGUGUAUUCACAAUGGAUGCACAACAACCAUCUCCCAGAACUUAUCUAGUCAGUUCAAUGCGUGACCCUCAAAGGGGUUAAAAUGUUUACGUGAUAUUUUUAUUGAAUGGUUCUAAAAAAUAAAGUCUUUUGACCUAUUA